AUUGAACGCUGGCGGCAUGCCUUACACAUGCAAGUCGAACGGUAACAGGUUAAGCUGACGAGUGGCGAACGGGUGAGUAAUACAUCGGAACGUGCCCAGUAGUGGGGGAUAGCCCGGCGAAAGCCGGAUUAAUACCGCAUACGACCUACGGGGGAAAGGGGGGGAUCGCAAGACCUCUCGCUAUUGGAGCGGCCGAUGUCAGAUUAGGUAGUUGGUGGGGUAAAAGACUACCAAGCCGACGAUCUGUAGCUGGUCUGAGAGGACGACCAGCCACACUGGGACUGAGACACGGCCCAGACUCCUACGGGAGGCAGCAGUGGGGAAUUUUGGACAAUGGGCGCAAGCCUGAUCCAGCCAUGCCGCGUGCGGGAAGAAGGCCUUCGGGUUGUAAACCGCUUUUGUCAGGGAAGAAACGCUCUGGGUUAAUACCCUGGGGUAAUGACGGUACCUGAAGAAUAAGCACCGGCUAACUACGUGCCAGCCGCCGCCGUAA
rnacentral:rRNA from 1 species